rnacentral:rRNA from 1 species
AAGUAAGAACAACAGGGAUUGCCUUAGUAACGGCGAGUGAAGCGGCAACAGCUCAAAUUUGAAAUCUGGCUCCCUUGGGGGCCCGAGUUGUAAUUUGUAGAGGAUGCUUCGGCGUGGGCCCCGGUCUAAGUUCCUUGGAACAGGACGUCACAGAGGGUGAGAAUCCCGUACGUGGCCGUGGGCGCUCGCCAUGUGAAGCUCCUUCGACGAGUCGAGUUGUUUGGGAAUGCAGCUCUAAAUGGGAGGUAAAUUUCUUCUAAAGCUAAAUAUUGGCCAGAGACCGAUAGCGCACAAGUAGAGUGAUCGAAAGAUGAAAAGCACUUUGGAAAGAGAGUCAAAAAGUACGUGAAAUUGUUGAAAGGGAAGCGCUUGCAACCAGACCUGCCUGCGGUUGCUCAUCCGGGCUCCUGCCCGGUGCACUCUUCCGCAGUCAGGCCAGCAUCAGUUCUGGCGGUCGGAUAAAGGCGGCGGGAAUGUGGCUCCUCUCGGGGAGUGUUAUAGCCCGCCGUGCAAUGCGGCCAGCCGGGACUGAGGUCCGCGCUUCGGCUAGGAUGCUGGCGUAAUGGUUGUAAGCGGCCCGUCUUGAAACACGGACCAAGGAGUCUAACAUCUGUGCGAGUGUUUGGGUGUCAAGCCCAGGCGCGUAAUGAAAGUGAACGGAGGCGGGAACCCUUUGGGUGCACCGUCGACCGAUCCUGAUGUCUUCGGAUGGAUUUGAGUAAGAGCAUAGCUGUUGGGACCCGAAAGAUGGUGAACUAUGCCUGAAUAGGGUGAAGCCAGAGGAAACUCUGGUGGAGGCUCGCAGCGGUUCUGACGUGCAAAUCGAUCGUCAAAUUUGGGCAUAGGGGCGAAAGACUAAUCGAACUAUCUAGUAGCUGGUUCUGCAGAUUUCCUUCCCCCAGAAAUAAACGGU